rnacentral:rRNA from 1 species
AACGAACGCUGGCGGCAUGCCUAACACAUGCAAGUCGAACGAGACCUUCGGGUCUAGUGGCGCACGGGUGCGUAACGCGUGGGAACCUGCCCUUAGGUUCGGAAUAACUCCCAGAAAGGGGUGCUAAUACCGGAUAAUGUCUUCGGACCAAAGAUUUAUCGCCUUUGGAUGGGCCCGCGUGGGAUUAGCUAGUUGGUAGGGUAAAAGCCUACCAAGGCGCGGAUCAGUAGCUGGUUUGAGAGGAUGAUCAGCCACACUGGGACUGAGAAACGGCCCAGACUCCUACGGGAGGCAGCAGUGGGGAAUAGUGGACAAUGGGCGAAAGCCUGAUCCAGCAAUGCCGCGUGAGUGAUGAAGGCCUUAGGGUUGUAAAGCUCUUUUACCCGGGAUGAUAAUGACAGUACCGGGAGAAUAAGCUCCGGCUAACUCCGUG